rnacentral:rRNA from 1 species
GACGAACGCUGGCGGCGUGCUUAACACAUGCAAGUCGAACGGAAAGGCCCUGCUUUUGUGGGGUGCUCGAGUGGCGAACGGGUGAGUAACACGUGAGUAACCUGCCCUUGACUUUGGGAUAACUUCAGGAAACUGGGGCUAAUACCGGAUAGGAGCUCCUGCUGCAUGGUGGGGGUUGGAAAGUUUCGGCGGUUGGGGAUGGACUCGCGGCUUAUCAGCUUGUUGGUGGGGUAGUGGCUUACCAAGGCUUUGACGGGUAGCCGGCCUGAGAGGGUGACCGGCCACAUUGGGACUGAGAUACGGCCCAGACUCCUACGGGAGGCAGCAGUGGGGAAUAUUGCACAAUGGGCGGAAGCCUGAUGCAGCAACGCCGCGUGCGGGAUGACGGCCUUCGGGUAGUAAACCGCUUUCGCCUGUGACGAAGCGUGAGUGACGGUAAUGGGUAAAGAAGCACCGGCUAACUACGG